rnacentral:lncRNA from 1 species
CAUUAAAAUAUAAAUUUAAAUAUGGUAUAUGAUACAGAUUCUUGUUUACUUAAAAUAUUGAUUAGAAAUAUGUUUUAAAAUUAGUAAUAAAUUAGGAGAUUUUGGUUCAAGUUUUUGUUUAAUAUAUAUUUAAUUUCUUUUGGAUAAAUAUACAGCAGAAUUGUUAGUUGGUGUAGUAAAUAUAGAUUUAAUUUUGCAGUAACUACAAAACCUGUGUCUUUUAAAUUUAUUCUUAUUUUAUUGUAAGUCUGGGCUUUUAAAUUGAGACACGAGUCACAGAAAAUUCCUUGUCAUAAUUUGCUUAUUUUCUCAUUUUAAAAAUGUUUUAUUUAAUUGUGCUAAGAAUGCUGAGGUGUAGCUCUCCACAAUUGAUGGUUUCUAGCUGGGGUGAGGGGUGGUUGUGCAGAUGGAGAAGGACUCAGUUUUCUUUAAGAGGCUGGUCAUUUGAAUUCGACCAUGCUCCAGUGAGUAUAUGAGCAACACAAACUGUUCCCCUUCCCCUUCCCCUCCCCCUCCCCCUCUCCUUCCCUUUCCCCCUCCCCCUCCUUCAUUUUUUUUUUUUUUUUGAUGGUUGAGGUCACAGGUAUGUGUGUGUGUGUGUGUGUGUGUGUGUGUGUGUGUGUGUGUGUGUGUACUGUGGAUAGCCCUGGGAUUGCUUGUAUAUUGAUGCUAAUUCUGCUCUCCCGGAAGGGGUUAUGAAUGAAAAAUGAGUUAGGUACUCAGGUGACUUCUUGUGAACCAUCCCCUAAUGAAUAAAGGAGCCAAUCACUGGGCGAGUAGACCGGACGUCCAGGUUAGAUAGAGGAAGAGUGGAAGCAGGAGGGGCAAAGGGCCCUUUUUGGACAGGGAUAGUGUGAGGACAAGCUACGAGUGUCUUCCAGUUUCAGUGGUGGAUCCAUCAGGAUUCACCACAGGAGGAUUUAGGUUUAAUAAGGCUUACAAGAUUAGAAUUUUGGUUGUUGGGUCCAGAGAUUGAGUUACCGUUGUUUCUGAACUAAGUUUGUGUUGUGUUUUCUUUCAUGGGGGAUUUGAAGCACGGGGUUGGGGUUGGUGUGGUAAGGAGCCGGCAGUGGGAACCCAGAGAGCUGGCUGGAGAAAUUGUGGAGUUCUAAGUCAGAGUUUUCAAGAGAUAAAGCAGGUCGACUAUUGCCUGCCAGUACAUGGCUGGCCAGGCUGCCAGGGCACAGCCACAAGCACAGUAAUGUUCCGUUUUUUUGUUUUUGUUUUUUUAUUUAAAUAUAUAUUUCCCACAACAGGGGUGAGUCUGGGAGGACUUGGAAGUAAAUGUGUUCAUAGUGCUUAAUGUGAAAUUCCCAAAUAAUCAAUAAAAAUAUUAUGUUGUAAUAACGUUUUUAUUUGUUAUUCAAGAAUUGUAUACAAUAUAUUCUGGUCAUAUUUAUUUCCUCUGCCUCAAUGCUUCCCAGAACCUCCACUACUUUUUUACACACCCAACUUAACAUUCAUUCUAUUUUUAAAAUCCACUCCCAUCACACACACACACACACACACACACACACACACACACACACACACACACACAGAGUCUAAAUGAAAAACAACCCCUCCCUACAAACAAACAAACAAACAAACAAAAAACCCAAAAACCAUGGACUCUGACUGGUGUUGACUAUCUGGUCCUGGGAAUGGUAACUUUCUUGGAGUGUGGUUCAUAUACCCAGUGUGACUUCAUUGAGGGAAACUAAUUUUCAGCCACCUAUUGUGAAUUGUUUCUUGGCUUGGGGUGGACCUUUGUGCUAUUUCCCUUAUUCCAUGUUAAGACUGUUGUCUGGCUUGAGCUUGUGCUGGUCCUGUGCUUGCUUGCAUAGUGUCUGUGAGUUUAUCUGUGCCUACUGUUUUUGUAAAGUACUGGUUUUUUAUAGCUAUCCUUCAUCUUUCUGGGUCCUCCUCAGCAUAGCUCUUUGAACUUUGAGGGGAGUUGUGUGAUAAAGACAUCACAUUUAGGGAUGAGCACUCCAAAUCUCUCCUUUGCAAAUUGUCCCAUUGUGGGUCUCUGUUAAUUACAAUUUCCUGAAAGAAAUAGCUUCUAUGAUGAGGGAUCCACUGGUCGGUAGGCAUAAACAAAAUGUCAUUAGGAGUUGUUUUAUUUCUAUAUUCAUUUAGUCAAAUAAUAGCAGUAGACUUUCCCUUAGGGUCCAUAGUCUAUUUAGUCUCAGGACCUUAGCCUCAGUAACAGUGUCUGGCAUGGGUUCCAAUAUAAUCAAAAUAUAUUGUAUGCAAAAUAUAAUGUAUGGCUUAAAUAAAAAAAAAAGUUGUUUGUCACUCCCAUAAUGUUUGUGGCAUUAUAAUACUGGUGGGCAUAUACCACCAGACAGAUCAUUAUCAUAGCUUGCAGCAUUUUGAGCUUGGUGAGAUUAAUGCUUAAGUUUCUUUACUGACAGCAUGCAUAGCAUGUUCCAACACUAUAAGUGCUAGCCACUGGAGACCAAGCUUCCCGUUGAUUGCCAGCUAGAUUUCUCUAUAUUCUGUGCCAUAAGUAUGCAUUGCCUCAGCAACAGGGUUAAUUUCUAAUCAGAGGUGCAAGAGAAUGUGUACCAAAUGUCCUUGAAUGAUAUAUAUUUAUUUUAGUUUUUAUUUAUUAUUAUUUUGAAAUCUUUUCUAUCAUUGUAGUUUAUUUAUUCACUUAUUUUAAAUUUAAAUUUAAAAUUGUAUGAAUGAGGAUGUUUUGUCUAUCUAUGUCUGUGUACCACGUGACUAUCUUGUGCCUAAGGAGGCCAGAAGAAUAUGUUAGAUCUCUUUGGGCUGGAAUUAAAGAUGGUCAUUGAGCCAUUGUAUAGGUGCUGGGAAUUGAAUCAGGGCCCACUGAAAUAUCAAGCAGUAUUCUUGACCACUGAACCUUCUCUUUGAAGAAAUUCUUUAAAAAUAUAUAACAUAUAUUUGGUUGAAAGAAAGAGAUUUUUCCUGGUAAUUGAUGAAAAAAUUUACAACCUAAAUGUACCUAUAAAUGUUGUCUGUCUGGUAUAGGCAUUGGUUAAAAUUUAGAAACUCAUUAGUACUUUGGUCCCUCAUGGCAAUGCCAGAGUUCAGGAAACUUAGGUUAGAGGGUCAAAAAUGAGUUGGUAGAGUGAUAUUCUAUUUUACAAGCUAUUAGAGUGGUUGGGGGUUGGAAUAGUGCAUAAGUGUAUGGCAAGUGCUUGCAGAUACAUGUAUGCUGCACAUAUACACACAUAUAUACCCACUAUACUUUGUUUUUUCAUGCACUUUUUGAAAAGUAAGAAUUAGACACAGUACUGGUGUACAUUUGGGAAACAGAGAGAGAUGGAUCUCUAUCUCUGUCAGUACAAGGUCAGCGUAGUCUACAUAGUGAGAGUUUCAAGAGUAUGUAGGCUAUGCAGAGAAACCCUGACCAAAAAGAAAAAAAAAAAAGGAAAAAAGAAAAGGAAUUAGACAUUUUCAAAAAGUUGGAGAAAAUCUAACAUUGACCAAAAAUAUGAUAACUACUAACUUUAGCAACAGCAAGCACAAAUCUUCAUUGAACACAUGAUUAGGAAGUAUGAAGGCAUAAAGGCAUUAACACAUAAAUGUGGAGCCAGAAAUAUAAUGUACUUAAAAAUUGAAAAUGAUUGGGCAAUAAAAUAGAGAUAUAACUUAUCUUGAUGGACAGAUUAAAAUGAUGCUAUGAAUGGAUUAGUAGUGAACUGAAGAAGUGAGAUUUGAAGCAAAAUUUCUGUUUCCUAUCGCUUUGUGUAAUAGCUUCAUGUACAUGCAUGUGAAUUUGUGUAUGCACACAUGUUUUUAUGUGUAUCAGCUUGUAUCUUACUGCAAUAUAAGAAGUAGGCAUUUAUAUCCUACAUUGUUAUAGAAUUCCAUAGUAGGAUUAACUAAGAAUAAGCUUUAAACUCUUUAAAGUUUUUUUUUUUUUUUUUUAAUUAUCUGGUGGUCAUAGAACGAUGUCUGUUUGGGUAGCUAUGCUCUCUUGUGAUCCUGCCAUUUUACUUUCCUAGUGAUUUGAAUCAGAUACUGUAGUCUUCAAUCACUCAGGCACCAUUCUUAGUCAUGGACUGUGUCACAGCCCGUCAACUUCAAGAGAUGGUUGAAGUGGAAAUUUCUGGUUUCUUUGGAGACUCAGUUCUGUCACGUGAUGUUUUUCUGGAAGCUGUCUUAUGAGAGGAUGUUUUGACGACGCAGGCAUGUGAGAGGGCGCUUUGCUGAUCACAGACAUGUGGUGCUUUUCUAGAAGCUGUCUUGUGAAAGCGCAUGUGACGUUUUGCUGGAACAGAUGCUUGAGAGGACACGUGAUGCUUGGGAAAGGUAGAAGAUUAACCCAACAGACAGUUGCUCUGGCACUGUGUUGCUUCUCUGGGCUCUGCUGAGCUGGUCUUUACUGAUGAUGCUGUGGCAUUGGUUCACCUUGCCUUCUUCACAGAUCAUUGUUUACAGAGAGAAAUGGACCAAACAACUUCUCAUGAUAGUCCAGUUGCUUCCUAUUACUUUUGUGGACAUAGGCUGACUAUCAGAGCCUUCAGGAUUCUGCCAGAUGGAACCGCCAUUGUUGGUUUGUGAAUAAUGGCUGUGAGUGGAUGGAGCUACCACUGCGGAUUUGUGUGAACUGAGCUGCUGAUAUCCUGACAACAAAGACUGCAAUCACCUCUCCCCCCCACCCCCCAAAAAAAACCAAACAAACCCUAUUCCUAAACAGGCCCACAUCCCUUUUUGCCUAUUAACCUUUCCUUUUCUUUACCACUGGUGGAGAGUACACUGGUGGUGGCUAGAAGGGAGGUUAAAGCAUUUAAGAAAUCUUAUUAAAGUAGGUUUUGAAAAAUACAAGCCUGCAGAUGGCAUAGAUUUUUCCUACUAUCCCCAUAGAUAUGUAAAGAAAAUACAAUAUUUUAACUCUUCAAAUAUUGACCAUGUGAAAAACCAGAAAGACUUGGGCCGACCUGCUUGCAUGUGUGUACAUAUAUAAUUGUAUAUACUCUUUGUCUACUUAUUUAUUACUGAAAGAGGAGAGAAUGGGUGUGAUAUUCAAACAAUACCAUACUAUGAAAUAGAAAACAAGGGUUUUCCUGGGACCCAGGCUUCCACUCAUUUCUCCUAAAGGCCACCACAAGUAACAUUUUCUAAUAUUAUCCUUCUUUAAAUCUUCUAUUUAAAACAAUAUUAUACUUGUUUUAUAUAUUAUAUCCUAUUAAAUGGCACAGGUAUAUUUGGCCUGUUUUCACUUAAAUGUAUUUUCCUUAACAACACAUAAAGAAACAUUUUCAAUGCUGUAGUUCACUGUGUUAUGUUUUUUUAAUAUAGUUGUAUUUAUAUUUAUUUAUUAACAAGAUUAUAUUUAUUUGGUUUCAGCUUUCAACUAUAUUAUUUUUAGCUGACAAGUGAAAAUUGUAUAUGUUAAUGGUACACACAAAGUGCUUUAUAUACAUAUUGUGCUAUGAUCUAAUCAAUCUAAUUAAUGUAUUUAUAAUCUCUAAUACUUAUCUAUAGUUUUAAGAACAGUCACAAUCUAGUUGUUUAAAAUUUUUCUAAUCAAUGUACAUAACUUUAUCAAGCUCAUCUCCUAUACUGGAAUCCUCAAUUAUUAUAAGUUAAAAUCAUUUUUGUUAUUAAAAAUAGUAUUCUGGUGAUCACUUCCAGAAAUGUAAGAUUAUAAUUACUAAUCAUUAGAGACACCCCUACUGUGGACUGCUAUUUCUAAGCAUCCAAAUUUUCAUAGCUAUUGUCUUUCCAUGAUGUUUCAUCAACUUAAUCUCCCACAAUUAAUGUUUCAAAGUGCCUGGUUUCAUAUUAUAUGUUAUCAAAAUUUUAAUAUUUGCAGUCAAAAUUAUUUCUCUCAAUAAACCGGAAGGAAGCAACCUUCCUUCCUGUUUCCAUUCUUCAACUAUCUCUAAUUUUCUGAGUCUUAAUUCUCUUUCUGAGAAUAAGACAUGGGAGCUUGUAAUAUGUUAAGGUUAGCCAUAGAUUCCAAAUGCUGACUGCAUAGUCCCUCCUUGUAAGAAGGAAAGAGGUACUUCUCUGAGCUUGCUUUCAAUUUCCAUGCUUCAAUCCCUCUUUGCUUUAACUCUGCCCACAUGCUGGUAUGUGGCAGUGUUAAUUGGGUCCUCUGCUUUUGGAAUCUCAUGUAGAAUGUUCAUCCAACUCAUUUACCACAAAAUUAAAAAAAAAUGAAGAGAGUGAACACAGCCAUUAGAGUUGUUGUGAAUAAUUUGAGCUAAAUGUAAAUGUAGAAAGAAAACAGGAAAACUACUAUUAAGUACACCUUGCCCUCCACAAUAGAAUGUAAUACAUUUUUACAAGGUUAAUUAUUCCCACCAUCUAUCUGUCUAUUUAAAAGCUGUGCAAUUGAAAUAUGAAUAUGUCAGGUAUUUAAAUACUAACUUGCUUAAAGAUGUACUUUAUUAAAAUAGCAUUAUGCAUAUUUUAAAGUUAAAAUUCUGUGCUCUGUAGAUAGAGAGGUAAAACUCCCAUUUCUUGUCCACUGAAUGUGAGGGAAAUUGGAUUUGUCAGGAAGCUGAUUGAUACCUCGAAGUGUUGUGUUUUCAGUGACUGGCACUGCCGAGUUACAACCAUCUAUCAUCUAACAGGUAAUUAGUCAGAUUUCUCAUCAUGAGCCUUCAAUCCUGCUGUUUUAUUAUUGAAAUACCACAAGCCAGUAGGCAAUUUGAAUGCAGAUAAAGUUCUCUGUCAUGGUCUUAAGGACAAAGACAACAUUUUGCAAUUUAGGAAUACUGAGUUUGAAUAAAAUUCACUGAAAUGUAAGUUUGGGUCUUAUGAAAAUAAAUACGAACAAUUUAAUUUGAUUCCUCUUUUUUUGUUUUCUUCACAGAGAAACUGGCUGUUGAUAAAAGCACCUAGUGUUCUAACAUACACUUGUCUUAUAACGUUUUACAAGUAGAAUGUUAAGUGACAAUUGCAGACUAUAUGAAGAAUAAAGUUAGAUAAAAUAAAUAAACUUGCUGGCCUUAGAUAACUUUUAUCCAUUUUCUAAGGUAUUUUGAGAUGGUGGCAAAAGUAAUUUGUAAUUUACAAUGGUUAACAAUAUACAAUAAUGUAAAAACUUCACAGUUCAGAGAAUUGUUUUCUAAUAAGAAGUUCAGAUAUUAAAAUAAUUGAAAA